rnacentral:rRNA from 1 species
GACGAACGCUGGCGGCGUGCUUAACACAUGCAAGUCGAGCGGAGCGGCGAACGGGUGAGUAACGCGUGGGUAACCUGCCCUUAAGUCUGGGAUACCAUUUGGAAACAGAUGCUAAUACCGGAUACUAAAGGAUGGACAUGCGAUUCAUUAGCUAGUUGGUGAGUUAACGACUCACCAAGGCCACCAUGCAUAGCCGACCUGAGAGGGUGAUCGGCCACACUGGGACUGAAACACGGCCCAGACUCCUACGGGAGGCAGCAGUAGGGAAUCUUCGGCAAUGAACGAAAGUCUAACCGAGCAACGCCGCGGGAGUGAAGAGGGUUUUCGGAUCGUAAGACUCUGUUGUUAGAGAAGCGGUAUCUAACCAGAAAGCCACGGCUAACUACGUGCCAGCCGCCGCGGUAAUAC